rnacentral:rRNA from 1 species
AGAGUUUGAUCCUGGCUCAGGAUGAACGCUAGCGGCAGGCUUAACACAUGCAAGUCGAGGGGCAGCACGGGUAGCAAUACCUGGUGGCGACCGGCGGAAGGGUGCGUAACGCGUGAGCAACAUGCCCUAUACAGGGGAAUAAACCAGGGAAACUUGGUCUAAUGCCCCAUAGCAAUAAGAUAAGGCAUCUUAUUUUAUUUAAAGCUUCGGUGGUAUAGGAUUGGCUCGCGUGACAUUAGCUGGAUGGUGGGGUAACGGCCCACCAUGGCGAUGAUGUCUAGGGGUUCUGAGAGGAAGACCCCCCACACUGGGACUGAGACACGGCCCAGACUCCUACGGGAGGCAGCAGUGAGGAAUAUUGGACAAUGGAUGGAAAUCUGAUCCAGCCAUGCCGCGUGCAGGAAGACGGCCCUAUGGGUUGUAAACUGCUUUUAUCAGGGAAUAAACCCCCGCUCGUGAGCGGGGCUGAAGGUACCUGAAGAAUAAGCAUCGGCUAACUCCGUGCCAGCAGCCGCGGUAAUACGGAGGAUGCAAGCGUUAUCCGGAUUCAUUGGGUUUAAAGGGUGCGUAGGCGGAUUGGUAAGUCAGGGGUGAAAUUUUGCAGCUCAACUGUAAAAGAGCCUUCGAAACUGGCAAGCUUGAGUGUGGAUGAAGUAGGCGGAAUUUGUGGUGUAGCGGUGAAAUGCAUAGAUAUCACAAAGAACACCGAUUGCGCAGGCAGCUUACUAAACCAUAACUGACGCUCAUGCACGAAGGCGUGGGGAUCAAACAGGAUUAGAUACCCUGGUAGUCCACGCAGUAAACGAUGAUUACUGGCUGUUUGCGAUACAAUGUAAGCGGCUGAGCGAAAGCGUUAAGUAAUCCACCUGGGGAGUACGUUCGCAAGAAUGAAACUCAAAGGAAAUUGACG